UUUUAUAAAAAAUAAGAAUGUAUUUUGUCAACUGUAUAAGUUAUGUUUAUUUCUUCAGUGUUUGACUCCCAAGACAUAUGGGAACUGAUUUAGACAGGAGAUUGGCUUAGCUUUUAUUGCUCUGUGUGUGAUAUCAAUAAAUAUCUGUGAGAUUCA